AAAACUUCUUCUAAUGGAAUCCAGCUUGAAAGCUACUCAAGAGCAGCUAACUGAGCAAAUAGCAGAAACAGUUCGCCAAGAACAGAACGGUAGAAAACCCCAGGCAGAGCUGAAGACAGUGACAGAAAGGAUUAUUGCCUCUGAAGAAGAAAAAAAUGAUUGCAAGUUCCCAUAGGUGUCUUCCUUAUGUCAUUCUCUCUUUGGAAAGCUUCUAAAUUCAUCAUCAUGUUCAUCACAUGAGUAGCAUUAUGUCUUGCUAAAUCAAAGUGGAUUUGUCUACUGUGAGUUUGAAGGUUUGGGGAAGCUUUGGCCAACAGAGUUAAAUCAAAAAACCAAAGAGGGACCAAGAUCAGGUGCAUUCUCCAGGUGAAGAAACAGACUCCAGAAUAAGAGUUUUAGGUGGAAAAUAACGAGAGAGUUCACUUAGUUUUGCAUUUUCAGUCUCAGAAGCUUUAUAAUUAAGUUCUGUGAAUUUAAUAUUUCAAAUAAACUGGAAUGUGUUACA